AACGAACGCUGGCGGCGCGUCUUAACCAUGCAAGUCGAGCGGCAGGCAGCAAUGCCGAGAGCGGCGGACUGGUGAGUAACACGUGGAUAACGUACCCCGAUGUCCGGGACAGCCUGUAGAAAUAGAGGGUAAUACCGGAUAGGUCACUGUUUACGUGAGGUAGACAGCGGGAAAGGAGCUUCGGCUCCGCGACGGGAUCGGUCUGCGGCCCAUCAGCUGGACGGCGGGGUAAAGGCCCGCCGUGGCGAGGACGGGUAUCCGGCCUGAGAGGGCGGACGGACACAUUGGGACUGAGAUACGGCCCAGACUCCUACGGGAGGCAGCAGGUAAGAAUAUUCCGCAAUGGGGGGAACCCUGACGGAGCGACGCCGCGUGAACGAAGAAGGCCGGAAGGUUGUAAAGUUCUUUUCUGUCCGAGGAAUAAGUUUCGGAGGAAAUGCCGGGACGGUGACGGUAGGGCAGGAAUAAGCACCGGCUAAUUACGUG
rnacentral:rRNA from 1 species